GAGAUUUGAAACUAUUGCUUGGCUGAAAACAUCUGGCUGCUGGUCUAGAAUGUGACUCUUAAGGGCCUUACCAAUUUGGGCCUCUUCCAGAGCUGAAAACCAAUUACAAAUAAGAAACAGAUUUCACUACUCGACUUGAAAGCCACAUAAAAACAACAACAACAACAACAACAACAACAACAACAACGACAAAAAUAAGGGGAUCCUCAAAAUAAUUGAAAAAGAUUUCCACCAAAACGUAGAUGCAGUGUGAAUGGCAGGAUAUCAAGGAGAUUUUGUUAUCAGGUCUGACACAAAACAGACACUGAAAUGUUGGUGGAGUGAAUGAAGAAUCUCUCCUCCUGCAUCAUGAGAACUAUCCUGAGACAGCAGAGCAACGAGUGUGGGAAUGACAGAAGCACCAUGACACAAGCAAGACUCACAGCAUAUUUAAAGAUUAUGUUCUCAUUUCGCCUGCCAACAAUUAAUUAACCGAUGCAAGUCACACGGCUAAGCCUAACAUCGAUGGGAAGACGUAAGGAAAAUAAAGCUCUUCUCCUUUCAAACACUUGAAGCAAGUAAAUGAAAACCAGUGACGUCGAGAAGCUGCUGCUCUCCCUGGGUCACAGUAACACGUCGUCAAGAGUGCCCUUGACUUCUAUUAAGAAUGACCAUCUAACCAGGUGAAAUACAGAACUGUAAUACAGGACUGCAGUAUCUUUUAGCAACAAGGGAGCUGUGUCUAGAUGAAUCAGAAUAUGCUGGCUGGUGGAGCUCAGACACAAUGAUGAGGGUUCCAAAGCAGUGGGCAGAGAUCAGUUAAGCAUUGCCACCUGUCUCAGAGGCUACACCUCUUUUUCUCAGGUGGGACCCUGAGGUUGUUAGCAUGGAAGCAGCUCAUCCUCUGAGCAGCUCCUGUGCCACAAGUUCGGACAGAAAUCCUGCUGGGAGGAGGACUUGGGUCGAGGCUCCUGACCACCACCGCUGGACACAGCUGUCAGCACUGCCCAAAGAAGCGAGCAUGCCACCUGGCCUGAAGAGAGCUGUUCCAGCCCCUAAGAGUGGCAGGUUCAAAACCUAUAGGAUGGUUCAAUCAAAAGCAUUGCCUUGCUCUGUCCUAUGUGCUUUUGUACGUUGGAACACAUGCUGCUAGGAGACAAAGAGGACACACGUUUAUUUUCAAGCGUAGGACUUUGGAACCACUUGGGAAGAAUAUUCUUGAUUGAGAACCAAAACAUUCCAUGAUGCUUAACAAACCUGCAAAUUGAAAAAUCAGCAUAGGCCCAUGCAACCGAGAGGCAGGAGGAGGACUGAUACCCUGAAAAAAUAUUUUUUUCCAAAUAUUCUUUAAAUGAUAUUUGUGUGCAUUUGCAACAUUACUGCUUUCUAAAUCAAAGUCCCAAGCUGUUUUCAUCUGAGAACAUACAUGGUGCCAUUAGACAAUAUCUCAGCCCGCCACCGCCCAGGAUGUCCCCCACCGCAUUGUAUAAUGGACAGUCCCGCGAAGAAGAUGCCGCAGCUCAGUCAAUGCCUCUGUAAUAAUAUUUUAAAAUAAAUGAUAUGCAUCAUUAAAUCACCGAGGAUGACUAACUCAAUUUUAGAAAACCCACAACUCCAGCAAUCAUAGUUACAGCUCUGAUUUGAAUAUUUUCCCUUUCACCUGAGCAGGCAGUGGGAGCCAGUCAAGCAGAUUCGCAUCCAGGCUGUACUCUCAGAGGAGCAGGAAGGAACCUGUGAUUAUGUAGUUACAGGAACGUCGGCUACAUGCCUCCUGUCCGCCUGGGCUUUUCAGACUUUUCCUUCCUCCCUUCUUGCCUUCUUAUUUACAUAUCACAGGCAUCCUCUUUGUAAAGUUAUUUUAAAUAAUUUAUUAGAUUGAUCUUUUUAAAAUUCUAUCCUGGCUAAAUGUCAUAAGGAGAAAAAAAAAGUCUUCUAAACUUAUUUAAAGGUUUCUACUGGAGUCGGCCAGUUACCUGCUUCACUGCUGAUAUUCUAAAAAUACCUCCAUGUCCGUACUAUUAUCCAUUCUUCACGUCCAAUUGCUCUGUUAUGGUAAUAGUCAGAAGCACACCAUGCAGUAAUUACUUACAGCUGACUGAAGAAAAGAAUAUUCAACUC